AUGUCCUGGGAGUGCCUUCAGGGGCACAAGCAUGUGGAAGACAUUCUAACUCCCUUCAAGACUGCUGCCUUCAAAGCCAAUGCCCACCCCAAUGGCUGGCUGCAGCUGUGGUGUGAAGUAACUGUGGGGAACUGUCUGACAGGUGCUCAGAAGUUCAUCCAUCAGCUCCUCCAACACCUUGCACAUGGCUGGCCUGGUCUUCAGUGGCCAAAUGGAGAAGAGCAGAUACACCUCACGCUGCUGCAUGCAGUCGAGCAUGACUGCAUCCAACCAGUUGCCAACACAUUUCGGUCUCUGUGCCAACAAGGUGAAGACAAACACCAAAGCCAUGAUCUGGAAGAGGUGAGAGAGUGGAGGGAGAUGUUUGCAGAAUGCAGACAGUUCUUCCAUGCUGUGCGAAGCUACUAG
rnacentral:lncRNA from 1 species